AAUCAACGCUGGCGGCGUGCCUAACACAUGCAAGUCGAACGCGAAAAGGGGCAACCCUGAGUAGAGUGGCGUCCGGGUGAGUAACACGUGGAUAAUCUGCCUGCGGGCGGGGAAUAACUUUCCGAAAGGGGAGCUAAUACCGCAUAACACCGUAAUGGGGCAUCCUGAGACGGUCAAAGAGGGGACCGCAAGACCUCUCGCCUGCAGAGGAGUCCGCGGCCGAUUAGCUAGUUGGCGAGGUAACGGCGUCACCAAGGCGGCGAUCGGUAGCCGGCCUGAGAGGGCGAACGGCCACACUGGCACUGAAAUACGGGCCAGACUCCUACGGGAGGCAGCAGUGGGAAUUUUGGGCAAUGGCCGAAAGGCUGACCCAGCAACGCCGCGUGUAGGAU
rnacentral:rRNA from 1 species